CUGCGCUCCUUUCAGGUCUUCCUAGAACAGUGUUCCCCUGGCCAUGAUCCUUCCUGGCACAUGGAUAGAGGUCAGAGGACAACUUUCAGGAGUCAGUUCCCUCCUUCCAUGGAGGGUUUCAGAGACCAAGUUCAGACCCUCAGGCUGGUAAGGCAAGGAGGAAAAAUGAAUCAACACCACAAGCAGGGGAAGUCCACUAUUCACACAGGAAACGGAAUGACAUCAUCACCAGGAUGAAGAAAGUUGCCCUCCCCACUGUAAACAAUGGCUUGCGAUUCUCCUUCUUAGCCUUUGUAAGAAAGGGCAGACACUCACUGGCAAGAUUUACCAGCAAGGCACUGAGAAGCCUGGAUAUGUCAAACCCACGACAUUCAGCUAAUCCCAGGGUAGGGAGUCAAAGUGAAUUCCAUGUGUUGAAUCUGGCACUUUCUGUGAUAAACGACACAUAGGAGAAUGCUAUUGAUUUAAUAAUCUCACUGAAAUGACAUGUUUUUGAUUCAGAAAGAAAAUGCCUGUUACAGACACACAGUGAGAAGUUAAAACCCUGACGGCACAGCCAAGUCACUACAUCUGAUGG